rnacentral:rRNA from 1 species
GUCUGUUUGGAGAUAUGAACAGUCUAGUCUGCCCACUGAUAAAAUGAAUUUAAAGGGCCGCGGUAUUUUGACCGUGCAAAGGUAGCAUAAUCAUUAGUUUUUUAAUUGGAAUCUCGUAUGAAUGGCUGGACAAAAGAAAAUCUGUCUCUAUAAUAAUUAUUGAAUUUAACUUUUAAGUGAAAAGGCUUAAAUGAGUUAAAAAGACGAUAAGACCCUAUAAAGCUUGAUACUAACUGAGUAUUAUAUUAAAUUGUUAAAAUUAUAAAAGUAUAUUACGUAGUUUUUGUUUUAUUGGGGCGAUAGAGGUAAAAUUUUUAGUAACUGCUUAAAUUUUAUGACAAAAAUAAAUGAGUAAAUUUUAGAAAAGAUCCUAAGAUGGAGAUUACAAGGUUAAGUUACUUUAGGGAUAACAGCGUAAUUUUUUUUGAGAGUUCAUAUCGACAAAAAAGUUUGCGACCUCGAUGUUGAAUUAAAAUUUCUUUACAAUUGUAGCAGUUGUAAGAGAAGGUCUGUUCGACCUUUAAAUUUUU